GGCGCGAAAGCGUGGGGAGCGAACAGGAUUAGAUACCCUGGUAGUCCACGCUGUAAACGAUGAGGACUAAAUGUUGGUAGGGGAACCUAUCGGUAUUGAAGCUAACGCGAUAAGUCUUCCGCCUGGGAAGUACGGCCGCAAGGUUGAAACUCAAAUGAAUUGACGGGGGCCCGCACAAGCGGUGGAGCAUGUGGUUUAAUUCGAUGCAACGCGAAGAACCUUACCUACCCUUGACAUCCUGCGAAUCCCGAUGAGAGUUGGGAGUGCCGAAAGGAACGCAGAGACAGGUGCUGCAUGGCUGUCGUCAGCUCGUGUUGUGAGAUGUUGGGUUAAGUCCCGUAACGAGCGCAACCCUUGUCCUUAGUUGCCAGCAUUUAGUUGGGGACUCUAAGGAGACUGCCGGUGAGGAACCGGAGGAAGGCGGGGACGACGUCAAGUCAUCAUGGCCUUUAUGGGUAGGGCUACACACGUGCUACAAUGGGGCGUACAGAGAGUUGCGAACCCGCGAGGGGAAGCCAAUCUCAUAAAGCGUCUCGUAGUCCGGAUUGGAGUCUGCAACUCGACUCCAUGAAGUUGGAAUCGCUAGUAAUCGCGAAUCAGCAUUGUCGCGGUGAAUACGUUCCCGGGCCUUGUACACACCGCCCGUCACGUCAUGGGAGUGGAUGGUACCAGAAGUGGGUAGUUGAACCGAAAGGAUAACGCUUACCACGGUAUGAUUCAUGACUGGGACGAAGUCGUAACAAGGUAACC
rnacentral:rRNA from 1 species